UCUGGGGAGAAUUAAGAAGAUCAGGUUUACUCCCAAAGUGAGCAAUAGGUCAGUCUCGAGACAUUCAAAUGGAGUUGAUGACAUGCUUUCUCUUCCCUUCCACCCAAGAACCAAAUGAAAGGUGGCAACAGCCUUAACAGAAUGUCAGAUGCUGAAUCAGACAGACUUGGCAGAAGCCUUGAAAAAAGUAAAAAAGUGAUAAACAGGCAAAGGCAAAAACACACCCACGUAGUCCAGGUGGAGCUUCACAGAUGUGGUGACAUUUGAGCAAAGAUUUCAAGGAAGUGAGAAACUGACCACGCAGAGGGAGAGUCACUGUGAAGGCCCUGCUGUGGGAACAUGCCUGGCACAUCCAUGGAACAGCACUGAAGCUAUUGUGGGUGGAGUGCAGUGAGUGAGGUCAGAGCAGUGACACAGGAGGUAAGAGAAUACCGAGUGUGUGUGAGCACGUGUAUGGCAGUGUGUGUGUGUGCACGUGUGUGUGUGUGCAUGCACUGUGGUGCAGGAAUGAGGUCAUGCAGAUCCACAGGACAUUGUGAACUGCAGAAGAGUCUUCUGCAUUUGGCAAAAUUGGGGACCACUGGAGAGUUUGUGGCAAGGGAGUGUUACGACGUGACUUAUGUUGUCAAACCUUUGUUCUGGCUGCUGUGUGGGAAACAUGAGUCCAGGUACAAGGAGGAGCACAAGAAGGCCCGCCACGAGGCCAGAAUCCAGGUAGGGAUUAUGAAGGCUCAGCUCAGGAUUGCAAGGGUUGAGAAGUGACCCAAUUAGAUGCAUAUUUUGAUUGCAGAGCCAACAUUCUCAUAUUUUGUUCAUAUUGACUUUAUAUUACUCCAAAUUAUCUGUCUGCUGUGGGCUUCCCUUCUAAAGUGGUGCUCCUAGAGGGCAGGAAUUGUAUUUUAUUAUCUACAUAUUCCACACUUGUGCCUAGCACAAUGUCUGGUCCCCAGCAGAGUUCCAUGUAUCUGUAGGAAUUGAGCCAAAAUCCCUCCUUGUGCCACGUUUUGUCACAUAACAUGCUGUUUCUUUCUGACAUAGAAAUAACUAGAACUAGUAAUGCAUGAACUACACACUAAUACAUUGAUCUUCCCAUGCUAUUUAGAGAAGAAAUGUCACAAAUGACAAAUUUUCUUUCACAGAGCUAAAAUUCUGCAACUCCUUCCUGAGAUUCUUUAUUAAGUUAUCAAGAAAAUGUAAAAUAUCAAAUGGAAUUUGCUGGGAAAAAGCACAUAAAAUUGAAUUUUCUCUGUUAAAAACAGUCUAGUUCUUUGUGAUCUGCCACAUUUCCUUCUUCCCACUUGAUUUCAACAUUUUUCAUCUUUCCUAAAAUAGGCGGAGACCCUAAACUCAUCAUUUCCCCAGUGGCUUCUUGGAGAGAUGCUUUUUACCAAACACCAAGCAGUCCAAACCAAUUUCAACAACAGGGCUAAUUUUUUGUUUCUUUGGCAAAUCACCUUUCUUGAUUGCAGAUUAAACAUCUCAUCCUUCAGUAGAAUCACAUACGAAGUAUCCUACAAAUACUAAGUCAAAAGUUUAAAAAUCCCUACAGUAAGAAUUUGUUGCGUAUCUGCUCAAAGAAUCUUUUUUUAAAAUCUUUAUUAUUAAAUGAAGUACACUCACUAAGUGAAGUAAAGGGAAAACAUAUUAUUCAAAUUUAAAUACUUUUAGGUCAUAUGUGUGUCAUACCAGAGUAGCUCUAGAUGUCAAGAAUGGUCACAAACUAAUGCAGGAUCACCUAACAACAUACAUAAAAUCUAGGUUUUGAGAACCACAAAAAGUUACAACCACACACUCAAUCUUGUCACAUUACUCAGACUAUUAAAUAUGUUUAAUUCAAGGUUACUGGCUGAAUCAAUGACACACGACCAUGUAGAGCUAAUGCAGAAACCAAGAACCCCAAAUCUCUCAGUGACUCAGUGCUACUCUGCAAGGCUCCACUGCACAAUCUGCAAACAGAACCUCUGUAUGGCAACUUCUAGAGCGCUCUGAUCAGCUGCUCACCUCCUUUCCAUUCCCCAUCCUUCCUGCCAGCCUCUUGAAUCAGAAAUCAGCAAGGGAUUCUCUUAAGGACAGUAUUCACUCUUUAUCUUGAGCUAAAUCAUUAAGAGGUGAGUACUCAUUAUUUCUGUACUUUAAUCUCUUUAUUCCCAUUCUGGUUCUUUGUUGCAGUCCAAAAGGAGAUUCAAAUGCCUAAAGAAUUUAGCACUUCUACUUGCAAAGUGCCAAAAGCAAAGCUUAAUUUCCUAACCCCCUCCACACCCUCAGUGAGCAAGAAUAUUCCCCCUCCAAAUGCGCGGAAACAGAUUCGAUCACUGAUAUACACACGCUUCUGGACUGCAAGAAGACUUGGAUGCCUGAAGACUAUCUCUUGGCUGGGCAUGGUGGCUCACAUCUGUAAUCCCGGCACUUUAGUAAACUGAGGAGGAUGGAUCAUGAGGCCAAGAGUUCGAGACCAGCCUGACCAACAUGGAGAAACCCUGUCUCUACUAAAAAUACAAAAUGUUAGCCAGGCAUGGUGGCAUGCACCUGUAGUCUCAGCUAUUCAGGAGGCUGAGGCAAAAGAAUCCCUGGAACCUGGAAGGCAGAGGUUGCAGUGAGCAGAGAUCAUGCCACUGCACUUCAGCCUGGGUGACACAGAGAGACUCUGUCUCAAAAAAAAGAAAUAAAAAGAGUAUCUCUUAAAUUCAUAAUACCCUAUUAAUCGCUUUUCUGAAGAUGCUGCUACUGAAAUUGAGGUUAUUCAAGAAAUAAGUUACCAUAUAUUUUUAAUGUGUGGCCUAGAAAGAGAAAGAGCAGGAACUUGAAGAGAAACAUCUGAAAUUAUUCUGGCAAUACCUGAGGUCAAAUAAAUGGUGGGGGUAGCUUUUGGAGAAAUGAAUGCAAGAUAAAUGAGGAUGUACAGAGGGCGGGGAAAAAUCUUAAGAAGCUCAAACAAAUAUGUCUGUGUUCACAAAACAGCAAGGAUUUUCUCCCACUUUUUUUUUCUUUUUCGCCUGCUAGUCUCCUCUAUUUUCCUGUUCAAUCUCAUCAAGAAGGAGUUCUUGAAGGCUGCGAUGGUCCAGCUAUGGUGAGCUCCCCUUCUACAGAGUCUAUAGGACAACCUGCACCUUUUCUAGCCUGGAAUUUCUUUUCACACUACAUUGUAAGAAAAGCUUCUCUCAUUGGGAAGCCCAAAACAAAGCAUGCCUGAAAUCUAGAGGAUGAAUUUGCUGGACACAACAAACUUGAGAAUAUAUAAGCAUUGACUUUUGUGUCUUUCUUUCACAAUCUGAGAAGUCUCAGGCAGCAAGAUACCUCCAUUUUCCAGUCUGCCAACCAGCUCAGACUCCUCGCACGGAAUCACAGAGCAGCACCACAUAAGUCGGGGUCCUGGAAAUGCCUCCUGCAGUACAGUGACUAUGGAUUUCACAGCUUUCUUAACUAAGGCUUCCCUGGGAAGCCUCUGAAUGGCCAAAGUAAAUAACUUCUUUGUAAAUACAUUAUUUUUAACCUCCAGAGAAGAAAGCUACUUUCCUUGCUAAUUUUACAACAACCUCUGUCUCUGACUGUCAGGUUCACACUGUUUCUUGUCAAUUUUACACAACAGUCUGUUUUUGUGUGUGUUUUCCCUUAAAAUCAGAAACACAAAGAAUUAAGAAUAGCAAUGGUGCAAUUACAGAAUGAAAAUAUGCUGAAUACAUUUUGUUUCCAUGUGGCGAAUAUUUCUCCUUUGGGGAAAACAAAACAAAAUUCCACUACCUAACACAUUUAUUUAUAAUUCAGUUCUCAAGCAGCAACUCGGUAACUUGAUAGCUACAACUCUUGCUGCAUUCUUGGUAGAGAAUGUCUUUUCAACUCAAUUCCUUUUUGGUUGACAGUUUUAAUCACAUACAUUUAAUUGGACCAAUAUACAACUCAGAGCAUCCUUGUUCAGAAAGAUUGGGAAUGCAGAGUGAAAAAAUAUACAAGAAAGAGACGCCUAUUAAUUUUCAUGCUUUUUGGUUGAAGCAAGUGGGGAAGGAAGCCUAAAUGUCCCAUUUCUAAAUCUACUCACAAACUAUUCCUACCAGUCACCCACAUGAAUAGUCAGUCCACAUGAAUCUAGCCAGCAGGUGUUAAUAAGAACAGGACUCAAAUUCUUAAGACUCACCUGGUCGAUUCUCUAACAAUCAGUGUCUCCAGCACUCUCUUCUUGUGACCACAGGUAUGUUCACCUGGUACCUACCAACCAACCUUCUGGUUUAUUUUCAUGUAAAAAUCUUUUAAGUUUUCCCUUUCCUACUUAUACACCUCUAAACAUAAAUAUCUAUGCCAAUUAAGAUGGUAAAUUAGCAUUACCAGUUAUGCUCAUAAGUACUACAAAUCAUACAACCAACUUUUACAUGCAGUUUACCAUAAAAGUAGUUUGUAAAGUUUAAUACAAAAGUUAUUAUCAAAACGAGUGCUAAUAAUUGACUUAUUUCAGCAAGCAUUUACUGAUCACCUACUAUGUUCUGGGAACUGUUCCCCACAAAGGGAAACUCAGAGACACAACACUCUCUGGCAUAAAAGUUUACAAUCAACAGACGAAUGAGGGGUUCACAAGCAUUCAAAGCAUAAUGACUGGUGCCACCAUUCAAAAACAGCAAGGGUUGUGCGAGCACAGAAGAGGGAAUAAUUCCAGCAAUGCAGGUGGCUUUGAAAGUGGAUCUUAAACGGCGAAGGCUAUUUUAAUGGUAGACAGAAAUUCAUUUACAAGUAGCCUUGCUCCUCUGCAAACUAUCAAAAAGGAAAUAUGUCAAUCAUGGAGCUAGCUAAUAUCCAAGUGAUACAUGUUGGAUAAAUUAACCCAAUGAAAAAAUUUUAUAUUCUUAUAAAAUACGCUAUCUUCACAUCUUAAAAAUACACUAUGUAUUGAUUUGUCAAAGGUAGACCUUACCAACUACUUUAUCAUACUCACUAGUUUUGAAAUCAAACUAUACAUAAUAAAUACCUGGAGGAAGGGCUAUGAGUUACUCAUUUUUGUGUUCCUUCUCGAUGCCCUGCUCAUAGUAGGGGUAUCUGGGCUCCUGUGGUUGUAAAUGACAGAAAACCAGCAGGACCGCAUGAAGCAGUAAGGGAAUUUUCUCAGUUCCUGUACCAAACAAUAAAAGGGGCACAAUGGAGCCAGCAUCAGAUAGGAUGUCGAAAGCACCAUCAGGGCUCUCUCUCAUUCUCCUCUAGUCUCUUUCUCUCUGGCCACUUUUCCCAGGAGGCUGAAAACCUGGCUGCAACCGGUUCUGGGUUUUCACUCUCAAUGACUUCCCACUAGAGAAAGGUCUUUCUGCCUCUGAUUGGCCUGUUGGAGGUCAUGUUCCCCUUCCUGGGCCUAUCACUGAAGCCAGGGGGCGGGUUCUACAAUGGGCUCAAUGUGGGUCACAGAAGAAAGGAGAGGGAAGAGGUAUCAGGAAGACAAAGGCAAUGACCUCUAUAACGUUUAAUAAAGGGUUCUUCUGCCGCAUAUCAGGCUGUUCUGAACCAAUUUUAUGAUGCCAAGCAUAAAACACAUCCGCAUUUAGGCCGGUUUUACUUGCCAAGUUUUGAAUUGUCCCUUUGUAGCCUGAAAGCCUUAGCACAUCCCCCACACCAGGUCUGCCUGAAACUAAGAGACCUCUCGCGUCUUCAGGGCUCCAAGUCCACAGUCUGAGGUAAACGCACGGCUGGCAAUCGGCUCCACAGGACAGAGACUUAGAGAUUACAGUUAUCAAAACAUGGAUGCCCAGGACGCCCAACCGCUGUCAGCGUGGCCAGGAAGAAAAUGUAAGAACUGCUAGUUAUUUAAAACUGCCAGGGUGGAGAAGACAACCAGAUUCCUGUCACCAGUCCAGCUCGGGAAAAGGUGCCGCAAAGGCAUGAGGAAAUGAGAGGAAGUCUGGAGAGCAGAAGAGUCCACAGACAGAGAGCCGGGGGCUCCUGGGUCAAGACGAGCGUUUGGCACACAGCAAAAUUGUGAAAUCAUUCUCCCAAAUGACAGUGAGUAAAAUAAAGGUAACACAAAUGAACACAUCAUUCCUCUGCAGAGUGAGUUCCAAAUAGUAGCUAAGUCAGUUUCAGUAUUCUCAUAUAAAGUAUUUAGAUCUAACAUGGCCGAGGAGCUGCCCGAGCUCCUUACUCAAGCUGC